ensembl:lncRNA
GUGAGGGACAUGGCAGAUAAAGCUGCUAGAUCUAGUCAUUGGAGAUGGAUUAGGAGAAAUUAUAAUAGUUGGGGGUGAAAUAGAGGCGGUGAUGGAGUAGACCUCUCCUUCAAUCUGCUGUCCUCGCCUUCUUUUCCCUCCUCCAAUGGCAGAGAUCCAGGAAGAGGAAGUGUAGAUCAGGUGGGGCCGUGGCCUGUUAGAGUCUCUCUGGGACCAUGCGGCCAUCUCAGGUGAAGAAUUGGUCAGCAUGGAGCAAUGUCAGCAGGUUUCAGACGAUCUGCGACAGGCGGCGAGCCGAGCCGUUCACCUUUACCUGCAGCUCCAGGAUGUAAAGCAGCAGCCGGAGAUGAUGUCCGUCCUGCAGGAGGCCUUUCAGUGGGUUUCCUCUCGGCUGCAGGAGGCUCAGCGGAGCGGCGCCCCCUGAUGGUCAGCUGGAGAACCACGUCUACUGAGUUAUAAAUACCAGAAACACAUUCAGCAGUUCUGCUGCUGUCUAGACAUUCAGCUCUGUCCCAGAAACACUCCACUGAGGAAACGGGUAGAUUCACCUGUAAGCUCCGCCCCCUUCAUCCAGGUGACUCUGAGACAUUUAAUGAUGAAGCACCGGGACGGAUGUCUGGAUCCCAGCAGGACAGAUUAUUGAAACUGAAAACAUCCGAAUUCAACCCACAGCUGUAGUUUUAAUGUUUAUAAUAAAUAUUGCGUUUCAAGAAAUCGUGAAGUUUUUCAUGUGGAUCAGAAGAAAGAAGUUACUGCAAAGUACGGCAGCGGGUACUGCAAAGUACGGCAGCGG